UAUAGGUUGCUCUCUGUCGUGGAUUUGUCACGGCAGAUGCCCUAGUGAAAGGACUUAGGUGUGGAGCCAUCGCAACUAGGUUAGCUUGAAGGGGUUGAACGGGACAAAGGACACAGAGAGUUUACCCAGGUUCGGCCCCUCACAAUGAGGUAAAGGCCUAUGUCCUGCUUCUAAUUGUAUUGCUUGAGUUUCGAUUACAAGGGAGCGAAUACGCUUGACCUAGUUCUCGAUUGCUUGUUUCUCGAGUUAACCUGCCGCCGGGUCUCACCUUUAUAUACACAGGUAGAGACCCGGAGGCUUAUAGAGUCCCAGCCGGCUCACACAGCGUGUCCGGCUUGGUUUCUAACUAAUCCUGCCUUACAGAACAAGUCUUCAUACGACAGUUCACAGGCCCAGGUCUUGGGCUUUUACUAGGCCUGCCUCCAAGAGCCGCCAUCUUCGUACUUCUCCUUGGGCCUCCUUGGACCUUCUUCAUGUUGAGUCGCCAAUGGUGUAACCCGGCCCCUCCUGGGCGGGUCACACCUAGGAGCUAUAUCCCCAACAUCAGGCCCCAGGUUGAUUUGAAGUUGUUCAUAUCAAUCUCCACUAUUUAACUUAGCAUAAUGUAUCAGUGUCGAAUCUUCAUCAGACCGAUAUAACCCGCCAUGACAUCACAUAAGCAGAAAUAUUGUAACCCGCCAUGACGUCAUGUGCAUUGAUUCCGCACAAAGCCCAUGAUAUCUCAAUGGAUCUUUAUCUUAAUGGACCUCCUGAGAAUCGAGGCACCCACGUCGUUUAACAUAAUCAUUUUGCCUCCUCAAUUUCCGUGCAGGCCAUCUUUUCACCUCCUUAUAAAUAGGGACAGGGGGUCCUCUUCUUCACUUUUUACCCCUGCCUCUGCCUCUUCUUCUUCCUCGCAACGACCGACGCCUCCGGAGCUCCGCCGCCCCCGUAGACUGCAUCAACCUUGGCCGCUGCAUCAACCUGACCUCGACCAGAAAACGGCGGCGCCCCUCCGCUGUUCAUCAGCAUCUCCAGGUACCCAUCUCCUUUUUCCUCACAUCUGCAUUAGGGUUUCUGUAGUUCUUCGGAGUUCAUCGGUGUUCAUCACCCUUGUCUAUAGUUCAUCGACCAUGCCACCUUAGUAGGACCAAAAUGCGAUGCUAAAGUCACACCUUACCCCCCUUUAAUAUCUGCUAUCAAAUAUGGAUCCACUUGCUGCUGUUGAAAUUCACUCCCCACACCCGUGGUUCGUCCAUUGUUUUUAGGGCUAGUAAUUUUCUCCUGUUUCUGUAACGGCCGUAGAUUUGAAAUUAUAGGCAGAAUCUGUGAAACUUGUUUGUCUAGCACUUAGUGAAAUUCUAUCCAAUCCCUAGAUCUUGUAACCAUCGGCUCGACCACUGUUGUAUGAGCGGCUCAAAUAAUACUUUGUAACCCGCCAAAUACCAGCCGGCUUACCUUAUAAGUUGUUUAAACCGCCAGUACUUAUCCAGGCUUGACAUUAUCCAGCUCAUACCUCGCCGGUUUAACCAUGAUAUUUUCUUUUCUGCAACCAUUAAGCAGCUUACCAAUCCUUGCAUAUAACCAAUUUUGCAUAAUAACUUUACUUUGUUCAACCAUCGGGCGGCUCAUCAUCACAAAUUUGACCCGCCAUGAUUUCCUUUCUAGGUUUUCACCUGAUCAAAAUGACUAAGACCGUCACCUUGUGCGACUGGGUCGUUUUCCAAUGUCAUAGAACGGACUCUCCAAGAGUUUGUUGCCAUGGGCGUUUUACCAUCUAAGGAUGUCAUCCAUUGGCGGGUUCCAGGGGCUGAGGUUCCACCUCAACCAAAAGAAGGAGAAGUUAUAGUUUUCUCUGAUCAUAUGCUCUGAGGCUUCUCACCGCCCGGCUCAAAAUUAUUCCAUGACGUCCUGAAUUUCUAUCAACUUCACCCUCAAGACAUCGGACCCAACUCAGUUUCCAAUAUUUGCAAUUUUCAAGUCUUUUGUGAAGUAUACCUUCAAGAGGAGCCCAACGUUGACCUCUUUAGAGAGUAUUACUAUUUGAACCGCCAAACAGAGAUGACAGACGGGCCCAACCUUGAACUUGGUGGAAUUUCUAUCCGGAGGUGAAGAGACGCCGUCUUUCCUUCAGCUGCACUUCCCAGUCACCCCAAAGACUGGAACCAGACUUGGUUUUAUUGCCAAGACACCUCUCCGGCGGGUGAAAAUCCUCUGCCGGGUUUCCGUAUUCACCGGCUCAACCCCAAGCACCCACUUCCAGACCGGAUCAGCUCUGCUGAACGAGCCAAUUAUGGACCCACUUUUACUAAGAUAAGGGCCUUGAUGGCAAAUGGCUUGACCGGUAUUGACCUGGUCCGAUGCUGGGUUAGCUGGAGAAUCAUGCCUUUAAGCCGCUGCCCCGGCUUAAUGUGCACAUACACAGGCGAUGUGAAUGACCCCUUGCGGUAUAACUCAACAUUCCUUGAAGAGAAGGACCUCAACGAAAUGACCAAGUCUUUACUUGGAGAAACUCUAGAAAUCUACAGCAAAACGGGGCUGAGCCCCUUCUAUGUUCUUAACCCGGCUCCAGCUGUAAGUAUAUGAAGCCCCUUUUACUUUAUUCAUUAUUCUCAUAUGUUGCACUGGCCUUAUUAUCCUGCUCUCUUCAGGCCGACUCUCCUUUUUGGAAUAAGAAGCUUCAAGAUAAACCGGCUAAAAGGCCAGGGGAAAGACCAAGGCUCCCAAGAGACCCGCCAAGAAGAAAACAGAUGCAACAGACUAAUUCCAAUUUACUCUGGAUGAUGAGUCGGAGGAUGACGCGGAGACCAGCCAGGCAGAUGCUGUAGAGAAACAACAGCAUGAAGCUCGGCGUACAACCCGGAAUAGCGGAGGGGGAGACCUUCAUGCCGGCUUACCCAACACGCCGGCCCCUCGCAAACGCCGAGCAGAGGUUUCUCAGGACUCAAACUUCUCUUUUCCAAAGGCGGGUCUUUUUCGUCAACCGCUUAAUCCUUCCAACUCAAAUUAUCAUGGAACCUCUCACUCCUCCUCCGGCAACUCU